rnacentral:lncRNA from 1 species
CUUGAUUAUAUUCUAGAGGUUUUUAAUUUAGUAAAAUCAAAGAAACUCUAGUUUUUAAGUGGUCUCUUAUUUUUUCCAGAGCUGUGAUUAUCAGGGCUUUGGCUCCACCACUGUCUUCUAUGUACUGCAGAAUCUGUGAGGGUCCAGACUCUACAAGACCUGGCCCGACAAUGGAUCCUACACCAAGAUGUUUUAUCAACUUACAAAAAAAUAUGUGGACAUGAACUCAGUAAUUAUUUUGUGAGGGAAAGGAGACCAUUCAUGUGUAUGAGUCAAAAAUCACUGCUGACACUGCAAACGGAAUUAGUGAUGAGCUGUGUGGCUCUGAGAGAAGAAUUUACGAUGUGGAGUAGAGGCUCUGUUGAAGACACUGCAAGAGGAACUUUAGGCCUCAUGAAUAUUCUUAGCGAGUGUAGGGUCAUUGUGUUCUUACUUUGUAGGUGCAGUUCUGUCUAUCUCUCUCUCUCUCUGAGAUAAGACCAGGCGAGUUUUAGAGGAACAGCAGGGUACUGAAAGGCCCGAUGAUCAAAGCCUUUCAUUACGCCGGGACUCCCGUGUGCUUGUGUUGUCUCUGGCAAGUGUACCUUCCACUCAUCCUCCCACACAGGUUCUCACAUGGCAUCUGCUCCGUCUUCUUCCCAUCCUGUUCCAAUCACGUCAGCAGAGCUAGUCACCCGAAAGAGUGUGGAGAAGGGUGAGGAACGGUCAUGGAGUGCACACAACACCCUAUCCACAAAACUUCACUUUUGUUUCCAUGUUGGACUGAAGACUGAAAGAAUUCAAGAAAACCUCAUAUCUGACUGAAAGUGUCAAAUCUGCUGACACUCUCUGAACAGAAGAACAACUACAUCUACUGAGAACUUCUUUAUAUUCACAAACUCUCACACUCAUAGCCAAAGAAAUGGUUGCAGAAAUAGUUGCUGCCAGUAAGACGUAACAGAUUGCAGUGCUACUCAGAAAAAAGAUAAAACAAUUGAUUAAAAAUGUUGACAGAUCUUGGUCCUUUUUUAUUGAGCUAGUAGAGGGUAAAGCAUAUGUGAUGCAACAUGCCAGACGCCUCAGCUUGUAGCUGUAGAGGUUCCUAAUGGUGUCCUGCAAUUAUUUUAUCCCAUUCAGCUCAAAUAUUCACAGAGCUCCUAGAUAUUUUGUGGUGGGGUGGAAUGUUGAUGGCAUGUACAUUAUUAUCCCAAACAGUAUUAAUAUGCGAUAAGUCAGGGAAUGCAGAAGAUGGCCAUUGCAUUGGUCUUUAACCCUUAGAAGCCUGUUUUGGUGUGUUUUUUCUCAGUGUUUAUCAGCUUUCAGGUCUUAUAACCCUGUAAUUAUAUCAGACAGUCCCAUGCUGUGAGCUCUUUCACUGCAGAAGCCAUACGGCUGCUCAAACAUUUAAUCAUUUAAAAUGCAAAUGGAAGCAGAAUUGUUAUAUUUUCCUGGAACUGGCAAUGUUUUGGUCAACAUUUUACCAAGCGCCUGUUUUUUUGUACUUAUUUUUGAAUGUAUAGACUUCAAAUAUAUUCACACCUAAGAUAUCUAUUCAAAAAUGGUUAGACUAGAGUGUAUAUGAGUCGAAAGCAUUAGAAUAUUGAUGAUAGUUCAUUACAUGGCUUUUUACUUUAAAAUGAUGAAAAAACACACAAUGAAACCAUUAUACAAAAAUGUAAUCUAAAUGGAUAAAAAUAUUUAGUGCAAAAUAAGUACUUAGUAAAAAUGUGCAAGUAAAAUAAAAACUAUAUAAAGUAGUGCCA